CCUACGGGCGGCAGCAGUGGGGAAUAUUGGACAAUGGGGGCAACCCUGAUCCAGCCAUGCCGCGUGUGUGAAGAAGGCCCUCGGGUUGUAAAGCACUUUCAGUGAGGAAGAACGCCUGGUGGUUAAUACCCAUCAGGAAAGACAUCACUCACAGAAGAAGCACCGGCUAACUCCGUGCCAGCAGCCGCGUUAAUACGGAGGGUGCGAGCGUUAAUCGGAAUUACUGGGCGUAAAGCGCGCGUAGGUGGCUUGAUAAGCCGGUUGUGAAAGCCCCGGGCUCAACCUGGGAACGGCAUCCGGAACUGUCAAGCUAGAGUGCAGGAGAGGAAGGUAGAAUUCCCGGUGUAGCGGUGAAAUGCGUAGAGAUCGGGAGGAAUACCAGUGGCGAAGGCGGCCUUCUGGACUGACACUGACACUGAGGUGCGAAAGCGUGGGUAGCAAACAGGAUUAGAUACCCCGGUAGUC
rnacentral:rRNA from 1 species